rnacentral:rRNA from 1 species
GAGAGUGGCGAACGGGUGAGUAAUAUAUCGGAACGUGCCCAGUCGUGGGGGAUAACGUAGAGAAAUUUACGCUAAUACCGCAUACGAUCUAAGGAUGAAAGCGGGGGACUCGCAAGAGCCUCGCGCGAUUGGAGCGGCUGAUAUCAGAUUAGGUUGUUGGUGAGGUAAAAGCUCACCAAGCCGACGAUCUGUAGCUGGUUUGAGAGAACGACCAGCCACACUGGGACUGAGACACGGCCCAGACUCCUACGGGAGGCAGCAGUGGGGAAUUUUGGACAAUGGGCGAAAGCCUGAUCCAGCAAUGCCGCGUGUGGGAAGAAGGCCUUCGGGUUGUAAACCACUUUUGUACGGAACGAAACGGUCUGCCUUAAUACGGUGGGCUAAUGACGGUACCGUAAGAAUAAGCACCGGCUAACUACGUGCCAGCAGCCGCGGUAAUACGUAGGGUGCGAGCGUUAAUCGGAAUUACUGGGCGUAAAGCGUGCGCAGGC